CUUUUUCACUAGUUGAAUGAUUAUCACAUGAUGUUAAUUUUUAUUAGUUAUUGGAUAUAUUAUCCUUUAUUUUUUAAUAAUAUAUAUAUAAUCAGUUAUAUAUAUAUAUAUAGACUUAUAUUCUCCUUGUUUCCUUUGUUUAUAAUUUCAGGAUGCUUGGAAGAAGACGGGUUUUUCUUUUCGGACAUUAAAGUUUUAUUAUCUAAAUUUCCCCGGUCAUCUUGCAUGUCCGAUGGUUAGAUGAUAAGCUUUCUUGAAUGAAAGAAUUAUCACGGUGAAUUGCCGGAUCAUUUUUGUUGAGAUUCAUUCUCAUUAUCAA
rnacentral:lncRNA from 1 species